GGAAGUAAAAGUCGUAACAAGGUCUCCGUUGGUGAACCAGCGGAGGGAUCAUUACCGAGUUAUACAACUCCCAAACCCACUGUGAACCUUACCUCAGUUGCCUCGGCGGGAACGCCCCGGCCGCCUGCCCCCGCGCCGGCGCCGGACCCAGGCGCCCGCCGCAGGGACCCCAAACUCUCUUGCAUUACGCCCAGCGGGCGGAAUUUCUUCUCUGAGUUGCACAAGCAAAAACAAAUGAAUCAAAACUUUCAACAACGGAUCUCUUGGUUCUGGCAUCGAUGAAGAACGCAGCGAAAUGCGAUAAGUAAUGUGAAUUGCAGAAUUCAGUGAAUCAUCGAAUCUUUGAACGCACAUUGCGCCCGCCAGCAUUCUGGCGGGCAUGCCUGUUCGAGCGUCAUUUCAACCCUCGAGCCCCCCCCGGGGGCCUCGGUGUUGGGGGACGGCACACCAGCCGCCCCCGAAAUGCAGUGGCGACCCCGCCGCAGCCUCCCCUGCGUAGUAGCACACACCUCGCACCGGAGCGCGGAGGCGGUCACGCCGUAAAACGCCCAACUUUCUUAGAGUUGACCUCGGAUCAGGUAGGAAUACC
rnacentral:rRNA from 1 species